rnacentral:rRNA from 1 species
AUUGAACGCUGGCGGCAGGCCUAACACAUGCAAGUCGAGCGAGCGGCGGACGGGUGAGUAAUGUAUGGGGACUGCCCGCUAGAGGGGGAUAACUACUGGAAACGGUAGCUAAUACUGCAUACUAUCGGAUAACCCAUAUGGGAUUAGCUAGUAGGUGAGGUAAUGGCUCACCUAGGCGACGAUACCUAGCGGUUCUGAGAGGAUGAUCAGCCACACUGGGACUGUGAAACGGCCAAGACUCCUACGGAGGCAGCAGUGGGGAAUAUUGCACAAUGAGCGAAAGCCUGAUGCAGCCAUGCGGCGUUGAUGAAGAAGGCCCGAGGGUUGUAAAGUACUUUCAGUCGGGAGGCGUUACCGACAGAAGAAGCACCGGCUAACUCCGUGCCAGCAGCCGCGGUAAUAC